AUGGCGCCACUUCCUCGUCUCCUCCUUCCAGUGGCCCUUCUCCUCAUCGCCGUCACCGGAGAGGCGUACGCCGGCGGCACCGGCCACGGCCACGCGCGCUACGACCGCGUCUUCAGCUUCGGCGACUCGCUCACCGACACCGGCAACUCGGCCAUCCUCCCGGUCACCGCCGGGGGGCCCUUCACCAACCCUCCGUACGGGCAGACCCACUUUGGCCGGCCCAACGGCAGGGCCUCCGACGGCCGCCUCUUCAUCGACUUCGUCGGGCAGCGCAAGAUCAUGGCGAGCUCCCUCUUGUACCUGGGAGAGAUCGGAUUCAACGACUACUCUUUCGUCGCCGUCUUCGGCAACGGCACCAUCGGCCUGGUGCAGAGUCUGGUGCCGCACAUCGUCGGCGCCAUCUGUUCGGUCCUGACCGACGCGAUCGGUGUUGGAGCGCGGACGAUGGUGGUGGCAGGGAUGAUACCGAUGGGCUGCGAGCCGGAGCUGCUGGCCCUGCUACCCGGCGGCGGGGGCGACUACUACGACCGGGCGUCCAGCUGCAUCACGCGGUUCAACCAGCUCGCCCAGCUGCACAACCGCGCGCUGAAGCGCAUGCUCUGCCAGCUCCGGCGAGACCACCCCGGCACGGCCAUCCACUACGCCGAUCUGUACCGCCCCAUCACCGCAGUCGUCUCCUGGCCCAGAAAAUACGGCUUCGGCGGCAUGCCCUUGGCAGCGUGCUGCGGCGGCGGCGGGGGGCCGUACAACUUCAACUUCACCUUCUUCUGCGGCACUCCGGCGGCAACAGCGUGCGCCGAUCCGUCGAUGUCCGUUUCGUGGGAUGGGAUCCAUUACACGGAGGCUGCAAAUAGGUUCGUUGCCCACGCCAUGCUGAGGGGAUUGUAA
rnacentral:rRNA from 1 species